AGUGCUGUGUUCCUCAACAGGGGAUGCAUAUGGAAAAUGUCAUUCAAAAUGAAGUUGAAAUUUCAGUUCUAUAUCAAUUUCAAAUAGAUUUGAAGUCCUAUAUCAAUUUCUUCUGAACUUUAGUAAAAAGGCUUGAAGUACCAAGCUGUUUGCUAGAGCUCUGACGCAUUAAAACAGGUGGAUUUACAAUGAGGAAAACACGAACUGGCAAAUAACUCAGGUCUUUUGUUACUUUUCUUUCAAGGACUGGCAUUAGUAAUGGUACUUUCUGGGCUGAACUAAGGUGCAGUGUUAAUGGCUGCAAAUUACUGGAAGCUACUUUGGAAAUAGCCAAUAUGUGCCAAUCUGCAGUAGCUGUGCCUUUCUCCUGAGCUACUAUCUCACUCUCUGGAAUCUCACUUUUCAUUUAGCAACAGAGACAGCGUUCCAGGUGCUGUGAUUGGGAACGCACAUCUCAAAACCAGGAAAUGAAGGUAAGCAAGGCAGGUAUGGGUCUGCAGAGAACCUGGGACAAUAGCUCUAAGAUGUCUGAAUUGGCCCGUUCACCUCGAUGUAUUAACUCAGGAUGUUCCUGGGGCUGAUAUUGAAAAGUUAACAUGAGCUACCUUGGUCUUUCUGUGAGAAAGGAGAAUAGAGAAUAAUGACAGAUCUCCCCAUCUUAAUAUCAUGCACAUCUUUUAUUGGUGUCAUGAGUCAGCAGCAUCUAAGAAGAGCCGUUAUGUAUUCUGCUGCUCUGCCCCUUCCACAGGCAGGAGAAGACUGAGCCCAAAAUCGAACUGAAGGUGUGCCUUGAUAUUUGAGCAGAGAUUAUCUCUUGGUCAGAGUAGGGUCAUUCAUAGGAUGUUAUGGCUGAAGGAGGUUGAAUCCUACAAUUGCUCUCUCCCCCAUCACUCUCAGCAGAACUGCCCUUCUCAGCAUCAGCUAGCUAUUAGAUCAGCUUAGCUAUCAUGUCAAAUCACAAAGGGGAGAUCUGAGCAGCUUAAAACAUGACAUGAUAAUAUUUUGAUUAGCUGAACUAUCUACUGUAAACAAUCUGUCACAUUUGCACCUGCAGAGUGAAGCUAGGUGGUGAAAAUGAUGUGCAAUGUUUGAUCACACAAAAUACUGGACUCUGAAAUACUGAGAUGGAGACUCGAGAAGCCCCCAGGCAGCAGUUCAAAUCUGCACAGCUGUCGAGAAGCUCCCCCCGACUUUGGCAAAAGCAAGCAGAUUCUGGCCUCGGGCUUGGCACCCUCUUGAGCUGGAAGGAAAGCUGCUCAGGUGUCCAGGAUGCCGAUCUUGUAGGCUGAAGAUCUGGGUUUGACACCCCUUCUGUUUCAGGCUCUGCCACAGCCCUUGGCACCUUCCUUAACCUGCCAUGUGCCUAUGCUCCCUACUCCAUUUGUAAAAUGGGAAUAUGGAUACUUCCAUGAGUGUAGUUCCUGGGUAUUUAAAUCCAUUUCACUCAGUGAACUAUUAAAUACUAUGCAGGUAAAAAUUGCUGAGCUGCUCUCAGCAAAAACAGAGCAGGUGCAGGAACUGGUCGGAGACUUCAAGGGAGCUCGGAAAGGGAGGCGAACUCAGGGCAGCAAAGACAGAAAGAGCUGCUCAUGGCUGGGAGAUUGGAGUCUGACAGAUUUGGGAGCCAGUUUGAGAUCUACAAAGAGGAAGGAAGUAUUUUCAAUGAUUUAAAUGUAUAUAACCUAAUGAAUAGGUGUAGCCAUUUUGAAUUAGCCUGAGAUAUGGAUGUAGUUUUGGAUGAUUAUUUUUCUUUAUACUAAGAUCUACCAUAAUGUAGUGAGAAGAUAAAGGGCAUGCACACUCUCUCUCUUUAUAAAGCACCAUAUAUGGCUUUAUAGAGUGAAUGUUUUAUAAAAUAAAAUACUUUCAUAAUAAAUUUUUAAUUGUAAAAUAGGUAGUAUUCUUCCCUUCAGUGUAUGUUACAUUUCUCCUUACCUGUUACCUUAGCCUGUAAUCACCUGUCACAUUGAGGGAUUGCAUUUAGCUAUUUCAAAACAUACAUGUACAAAUAUAUGUGUGCAUGGAUACUUAUAUGCACUGUUUGUUUGGGUUUUUUCGUUUUUGCCAUUUGGCUAUCUUAUAGUUAUUCUGCAAGAAAAUCAGUUAGAAGAUGUUCCAAGGGAAAAGAAGAUGUUUCAGUCAAACCAAAAAGCAAAUGCAAAUGACAUUUUGAGCAGAGUAGAGUUGUCCGGUAGUAGCAACAAUUUUUCUCCUUGUAUAUAUCUUGGAAAAGCUGAUCUAUGUUGUUCUCCAGUUAGCGAUGUAUUAUCACUGUUUUGAAGUAAUACAUUGUUAGGAUUUUUCUUUAUUUUAUGGAGAAGAUGCAUUCCUCAUAGAAAUUUUUCAGUGGAGCUAUCAAUACACAAAAUAAAUUGUCUGUUGUUGAAUCUGAA